CGUGUAGGCGGUUAGGCAAGUCAGGUGUGAAAUCCCUUGGCUCAACCAAGGAAGUGCGCUUGAAACUGCUUAACUAGAGUACAGGAGGGGAAAGUGGAAUUCCCAGUGUAGAGGUGAAAUCCAUAGAUAUUGGGAGGAACACCGGUAGCGAAGGCGGCUUUCUGGCCUGAUACUGACGCUGAGACGCGAAAGCGUGGGGAGCAAACA
rnacentral:rRNA from 1 species